ensembl:lncRNA novel transcript
AGUUUUAGGCUACAGUGAGCAACAAUUACACCACUGCACUCCAGCCUGAGCAACAGGGCAAGACUCUGUCUCAAAAAACAAAUAAACAAACAAAAGAAACAAACAACUGGGAAUGCCAUACACCUGGGAAGAGUUAGGAGCAAUGCAGCUGGAGAAGGCAGCAGAAACAGGCUGAGCAAGCCUCAUGGGCUUUAUCCUGAAGGCAGCUGUGGACCACUGAAGAUUUUCAGGCAGGGAAAUGAUACGACAGAUUUGCAUUUUAGGAACAAGAGACGGGGUUUCACCGUGUUAACCAGGAUGGUCUCCAUCUCCUGACCUCGUGAUCCGCCUGCCUCGGCCUCCCAAAGUGCUGGGAUUACAGGCGUGAGCCACCGCGCCCAGCCGCUUCAACAUUUUAAAGUACUUUGAAGGGUCCCUCCUUCUGGAUUGAUAAGGGUGGGAACAUUCAAGCUACCGAUAAGACCUCUGCACCCAGCUCCUGUCCCUCCACUCCCUACGGCUCAGCUUUGAAGUUCCAAAAACCCUGCCUCUGUGACCUGAUUGUGUUAUCUUCAUAACCAAGGUGAGAAAACAGAGAAUCACUUUAUGGUUUCCUGUAAGCAGCCUUCUCCAAAGCCAUGAUUUCCUAUAAUGGGGGUGGAAGAAGAUCUGGGGUUUCUCAGAAAUUACAGCACUAUCUGGCACAGGGUAGGUGCUCUAGGAGCUGUUAGAGCAGUGGUUCUCAACCAGAGGCGAUCUUGCUCCCCAGGUGACAUUUGGCAAAUUCUGGAGACAUUUCUGAUUAUUACAACUUGGGGGAUGAGUGCUGAAGGCAUCCAGUGGAUAGUGGCCAGGGAUGUUCCCAAGUGUCCUGCAAUGCAUAGAACAGUCUAGCAAGCAAAGAAUUAUCUGGCUCAACACAUCAAUAGUACUGAGGUUCAGAAACGCUGGUUUAGAAAAUGGAGAGAAGAGGAAUGGAAAGAGAGAAAGAUACUUCCAUGAAUAUAAAGAGUGAGGCACCAUGGCAUUUUUGCUCUGCUGCUCUUUUAAUCUUCACGUAUCCACACUUCAAAGAGAUGUCAAAAAUCCGUCAUGGUUCUAAACAGUAUACAGGAAAAGUAAGAUCUAUUUGUCUCCUUGUUUUACAUGAGCUGACAAACUCACUUGAGAGAGGGCACAAAUUCAUGGUUCAUGGUGCCCAGAGACCUUAUAGGUCCUGGCUGGGUAGCUAAGCAGCUGGCAUGUUAGGGCAAGUUGCCUCAGUGGGCUUAUCUACAAAGUGGGCAGAGGGGCUUAGGGUUCCCUUGGGAACAGUGAAUUCUCUGAUACCUUAGAAAAGGAAGGGCUGACAUCAGCAAGAGCUGGAGGACCUCAGGGAGGAGGGCAGGUGGGCUGGAUUGUGCACUGGCCUUGGAAAGAAGAGAUAUCUGAGCCCAGGACAGCAAGGGGUGAACAGAAUUCAAUAAAUCGAGGUGGGAAAGAGGGUUUUAAGAGAACCACACAAGCAAAGCCUUGAAGUAGAGAUAAAAUGUGUGUCUGACCCAUUGUAGUUGCUCAUAAAUGCCGGCUCCUUCACCCUUAAGAAAACUGAGGUGAGCAGAUGAAGCUUACUCUACUGGGACCCAACCCUAGUUAGACCACCUGACAGCGUCCUUAGUUACGGAAACCUUAGGGCCUUCAGUGAUACUUCAGAAGGGGAGAACUGGGAGAAAGCACCAGAACCAUCUACUUGAGUGAUUCAACACAUUUUCUGGUAGGAAAACCCCUUUCCAGGAUAAUUUCCUCAAAAUUAUACUGUUUUUUAAUAGGAUCAGUUUAUUGGGAAAACACAUAAUGGCAAUAAUUUAAGAAGCUCUAUAAAGUGUAAGUGAAUGUGUUUUAGUCUUCUCAAAUGGUGUUUAUGUACUUUUUUUUCUUUUAAUAGACAUUUUUAGAGCAGUUUUAGGUUCAUAGCAAAAUUGGGCUGAAAGUACAGAGAUUUCCCGUAUACCCCCAGCCCCCACAAAUUCCCAGCUUCCCCCAUUAUCAGCAUCCCCCAGCAGAUUGUUUCAUGUGUUACAAUUGAACCUACAUUGACACAUCAUUAUCACCCAGAGCCCAUUAUCACCGAGAACCCAUUAGGGUUCACUCUUGGUAUUGUACAUUUUAUGGGUUUGGACAAAUGUAUAUUGACAUGUAUCCAUCAUUAUAGUAUCCUACAGAGAAGUUUCACUGCCCUAAACAUCUUCUGUCCUCUACCUCCCUCCCUCCUGACCCCUGCACACCAUUGAUUUUUUACUGUCUCCAUAAGUUUUGCCUUUUCCAGAAUGUCAUAUGUUUGGAAUCAUAUAGUUUGUAGACUUUUCAGAUUGGAUUGUUUCACUUGGUAAUAUGCACUGAAGGUUCUUCCAUGACUUUUUAUGGUUUGUAGCUCAUUUAUGUUUAGUGCUGAAUAAUAUUGCAUUUUCUGGAUGGACCACAGUUUAUGUAUCCAUUCACCUACU